rnacentral:rRNA from 1 species
GACGAACGCUGGCGGCGUGCCUAAUACAUGCAAGUAGAACGCAGUUGCGAACGGGGGAGUAACGCGUAGGUAACUUCCUCCUAGCGGGGGAUCACUAUUGGAAACGAUAGCUAAUACCGCAUACUGUGAGAUGGACCUGCGUUGUAUUAGCUAGUUGGUGAGGUAAAGGCUCACCAAGGCGACGAUACAUAGCCGACCUGAGGGGGUGGUCGGACAAACUGGGACUGAGAAAAGGCCCAGAAGCCAAAGGGAGGCAGUAAGAGGGAAUGUGUGGAAAUGGACGGAAGUCUGACCGAGGAACGCCGCGUGAGGGAAGAAGGGUUUCGGAUCGGAAAGAUCUUUUGUUAGAGAAGCGGUAACUAAACAGAAAGGGACGGCUAACUACGUGCCAGCAGCCGCGGUAAUUC